GAGAAAUUAUUGAAUAAGAAAAGUAGCAUAGGAUGCGCGUUUUUUAGAGAGUCAGUGGCGGGUGAAAACUGACACGCGGCCGAUGUGAAUGGACUUAUGAGAGCUGCCUUUCAGUAGGAAGGUGGACGUAUCCCUCGUUACGGGAAGUGCUUUUUUAAGCACGCCAAGUGGAAGCCAUAAUUGCUUCAAACAGAGGUGGCAACGCGGUAAAUAAUCGCCCUCUGC
rnacentral:ncRNA from 1 species